GACGAACGCUGGCGGCGUGCCUAAUACAUGCAAGUCGAGCGGACAGAUAAGGAGCUUGCUCCUUUGAAGUUAGCGGCGGACGGGUGAGUAACACGUGGGCAACCUGCCCUGUAGAUUGGGAUAACUCCGGGAAACCGGGGCUAAUACCGAAUAAUACUUUUUAGCUCAUGCUAGAAAGUUGAAAGAUGGUUCUGCUAUCACUACAGGGUGGGCCCGCGGCGCAUUAGCUAGUUGGUGAGGUAACGGCUCACCAAGGCGACGAUGCGUAGCCGACCUGAGAGGGUGAUCGGCCACACUGGGACUGAGACACGGCCCAGACUCCUACGGGAGGCAGCAGUAGGGAAUCUUCCACAAUGGGCGAAAGCCUGAUGGAGCAACGCCGCGUGAGUGAAGAAGGAUUUCGGUUCGUAAAACUCUGUUGUAAGGGAAGAACAAGUAGCGUAGUAACUGGCGCUACCUUGACGGUACCUUAUUAGAAAGCCACGGCUAACUACGUGCCAGCAGCCGCCGUAACAC
rnacentral:rRNA from 1 species